rnacentral:rRNA from 1 species
UACAGAGGUCUCAAGCGUUGUUCGGAAUCACUGGGCGUAAAGCGCGUGUAGGCGGCUUUGCAAGUCGGGUGUGAAAGCCCUCGGCUCAACCGAGGAAGUGCGCCCGAAACUGCAGAGCUUGAGUACCGGAGAGGAUGGCGGAAUUCCCCAAGUAGAGGUGAAAUUCGUUGAUAUGGGGAGGAACACCGGUGGCGAAGGCGGCCAUCUGGACGGAUACUGACGCUGAGACGCGAAAGCGUGGGUAGCAAACAGG